UGUUAAAAAAUUUAUCUAUUUUUACAAUUAAAAAAUAGUGUGGCUGACAAAAUAACAAGAUAGUGACACCUAGUGUGCUACAUGUACUCCAUGCUCAUGUAUAGAUAUCAGUUUUUAACACUAAAAAUAGAUAAAAUUUUUAACA
rfam:Gossypium arboreum cultivar AKA8401 contig_9239_5, whole genome shotgun sequence.